GAGGGUGCAGGGUUGGGGCAGCCCCACCUCCACCUUCCUCCUCCUCCUCCUCGCAGCCCUCCCAGGGCUGCGGGCGGCCAUGACACUGGUGGAGUCCGGAGGGGUCUCCAGACCCCCGGCGGGUCGUUACGCCUCGUCUGCACCGCUACUGGUGGUGGUGGUACCACAUACUACGCGCCGACGGUCAAGGGCCGCUUCACCAUCUCCAAGGACAACUCCCAGAGCACGGUCACGCUGCAGAUGAGCAGCCUCACGGCCGGUGACACGGCCACCUACUACUGCGUCAAAAGUGCUGGUGCUUAUGGUGGUG